rnacentral:rRNA from 1 species
UGCCAGCAGCCGCGGUAACACGGGGGGCGCAAGCGUUAUUCGGAAUUAUUGGGCGUAAAGGGCGCGCAGGCGGUCUUGUCAGUCAGAUGUGAAAGCCCUGGGCUCAACCUGGGAACUGCAUCUGAUACUGCUUGGCUAGAGUAUGGUAGAGGGGUGUGUGGAAUUCCUAGUGUAGGGGUGAAAUUCGUAGAGAUCUGAAGGAACAUCAGUGGCGAAGGCGACCUCCUGGACUGAUAUUGACGCUGAGGUGCGAAAGCGUGGGGAGCAAACAGGAUUAGAUA